CGAGUUGGGGGCGCGGCGAGGCCCGCCGCGCCCUGCGACGGCCGCUGGCCCUCCUCAGCAGCGGCGAGAUGUUCGAGGUGGAGGCUCGACGGAGUGCCCCGAUGUCUUCGAGAUCAUCUUCAGUCAGCGUGCCCGUUCCGGGGCCGGCGGUGCUUCGCCUGUGGCCAGCGCGGCCACAUCCGAGUGGCCUGCGGACGGGGGAGUCAGCAUCAGCUGCGCCAGCUGUCGGCCGAGGAUCCACAGUCGGCGUCAGUGAUGCAGUGCGGUGAUGAGAGUGCCGAGCUGUCGCGCCGAGAGGUGGCGGCUCCCGCGAGUGAUGAGGCGAUCGAUGAGGCCUACGCGAUGUUUAGUGUGCGGCCCGAGAGUGAGCGACGACCGCCGCUGAUGGUGAGCGUGGUGCUUGAUGGAAAGGCAGUGGACAUGGAGCUGGAUACGGGGGCGGCGGUGUCCGUCUGCUCCGACUCCGUGCUCCGUCAGCUCUGGCCGAGCGGCGGCCCGAGCCUGGAGCCGUGCAACGUCACGCUGAAGACCUACAGCGGCGAACAGCUAUCGGUGUGCGGACAGGUAACGGUGGAUGUCGAGCACGGUGGCCAGGCUGCCGCUUAUCAUCGUGAAGGGAAGUGCCCCGUGUUUGUUUGGCCGAAACUGGCUGAGUCAGAUCCCACUGGAUUGGCCCACAGUGUGUCGUGUAUCGUCCGCGUCUCGUGUGCAGCCGGUACUCGAUGAGUUUCCACAUGUGUUCCGUGAUGAGCUCGGCUGUUUUCGUGGUGGCGAGGUCACCAUUGACGUGGAUCCAGAUGUGCAGCCGCGCUUCUUCAAGCCGAGGGCGGUUCCUCUGGCUUACCGGGAGGCCGUGGACGCGCAGCUGGAGAAGGAGAUACAGCAAGGACUCUGGGAACCCGUCCGCCACACCCCGUGGAGCCCGUGAUGCCACCCGUGCCACGUCCACUCCUGGUUCCCGUGUCGACCGCACCGGUUCCAGGCGUGCCGGCCACCGGAGCCCCGCCGGAUCCCGCACCGGUGUCGGCCGCUGCUCCCGUGCCCAGCUCCGGUCCGUCACACCGGCCGCAGCCCGUCACUGACAGCUGCUCCAAUGGACCCGGGGAGUCGAGACCAGCUCUCCCCGUCGUACCAUCCACUGGCACGCCGGGUGGCUCCACCGGCCACCACGGGUACAAUCUGAGGAAUCGCGCGACCUUGCGAGCUCCGGAUCGAUAUUGAUGGGCACGUCUCUAUGACUCGGUUUUCGCAGAAGUGUUUUCUUCGGUUAUGUUCUUGUUACGGUGAUGGUUUUGUAACCAGGGGGAGGAGUGUUGUGGUGCACAAUGCUGCUGUGCCCGGGCCGCUGCUCUGGUCCCAGUGCACCAUGCCGGCGCAGGCAGCGCCGGCCAGCGGACGCCUGAUUGGUCGCCUCAGGCGCUGUGUCUGUGAGCCCCGUGACCGGCCGCAAAUACACAGUCUGGAACGGA